AUUGAACGCUGGCGGCAUGCUUUACACAUGCAAGUUGAACGGCAGCACGGGCUUCGGCCUGGUGGCGAGUGGCGAACGGGUGAGUAAUACAUCGGAACGUACCCAGAAGUGGGGGAUAACGUAGCGAAAGUUACGCUAAUACCGCAUACGUUCUACGGAAGAAAGUGGGGGAUCGCAAGACCUCAUGCUUUUGGAGCGGCCGAUGUCUGAUUAGCUAGUUGGUGAGGUAAAGGCUCACCAAGGCGACGAUCAGUAGCUGGUCUGAGAGGACGACCAGCCACACUGGAACUGAGACACGGUCCAGACUCCUACGGGAGGCAGCAGUGGGGAAUUUUGGACAAUGGGCGCAAGCCUGAUCCAGCAAUGCCGCGUGAGUGAAGAAAGCCUUCGGGUUGUAAAGCUCUUUUGUCAGGGAAGAAACGGUAGAGGCUAAUAUCCUUUGCUAAUGACGGUACCUGAAGAAUAAGCACCGGCUAACUACGUGCCAGCAGCCGCGGUAACAC
rnacentral:rRNA from 1 species